rnacentral:lncRNA from 1 species
CGGGAGGGGAGGGGAGGGGAAAGGUGGCCGUCUCAGGUUUCCCAAGUGGAAUUUGAUCCCGGCUUGGCGACGCUUUGCCUUGACCCAGAUUUCCUUGGUGGGAUUUCCAACCCACCAGCUCCGCCCCUCUCUCUAGUCCCCCCCCCCCGCCCCGUUCUUCCUUUUACAGCCAGGCUUAUUAUAGGGACAGAGAGCAGCAGGAGGAGGAGGCAGUCAGGAAAAGAAACUUAUGUACCAAUGCAGCCGCCGGAGCAGCAAGGCGCGNUCGCCGCCUCCUCUGUCUCCAGCCAUGGCCCGGAGGAAAGGAAGCUGCUAGACUUCGUUUUCGCCUCCAGCGGCCCCGGGUCCCGGUGGGGCUUCAUCUGGGCCCCCUUCUCCCAGCCCAGGGGGGCGCCGGGCCGAUCCGACCGCCGGCCGCCGAAGGCCCCCGCCAUGGAGAGCUCGCCCGGGCGCCCCUUCCCGCCGGGCACCCGGAAGNCUUGGCUGCUGGUCUCGGCGGUGGAGCUGGUCAUCAUCCUCAUCCUGGCGGCCGGCCUGGCGCACCUGGCCACGCACCUGGAGGAGGGGGACGAAGAGGAGAGGUGCCCCCCCGAGGGCGGGAAGUUGGCAUCCCUGCGCAGCAUGAACGAGACGCUUCGGGAGGCCACGACGCAGUGGGAAGCNUGCCAGAGUUACACAAGAGUGCUCAGAGCAAACAUUUCCAGCCUGGAAACAGAAAUGACUGAGCUCAGCAUGCGCUUACGUAUGAAGGAAUUUGAAAACAACGUUCUAGAAGAUAAACUCGCGCUCCUGAAGAACUUGACGCAUCACCUCCGUGAUCUACANAACCAGCAGAAGGACAUGAUUCUGCACCUUCAGCAGCAGCACAGGAAACUGUCCAGCGGGAAUUCUCUCCACANCAGCUUACCAUUGUUUGCUCUGGUCGUCGCUGGGGUGCUGCUGGUUUGAAAAGCCACGGGGAAAAGAGAUCUCUGGCGAGGCUCGAACCACUGAACUAACAAAUAUCCAGAUGGCGAACCUGCUCCACGCCGGUCCGAUGCGCCUGGGGUAUUUUUCUUCCAAAAUCUGUGGAUCUGUCAUUCUGGCCAGGUUGCAGAAAGUCAAAUUGUGAAGCAGUGGUUUUUUUUUUUUUUUUUAAUAUAUAGAUCUAUAUAAACUGUUAUCAUCUGUCGUUAUUUUGCUGUUGUUAUUUCACUUCCUUGCGCGCGGAAAUAAAUGCUUCUCUGCUUCCUUGUGCUGUGCA